rnacentral:rRNA from 1 species
UACGUAGGUGGCUAGCGUUGUCCGGAUUUACUGGGCGUAAAGCGUGCGCAGGCGGUUAUGCAAGACAGAUGUGAAAUCCCCGGGCUCAACCUGGGAACUGCAUUUGUGACUGCAUGGCUGGAGUGCGGCAGAGGGGGAUGGAAUUCCGCGUGUAGCAGUGAAAUGCGUAGAUAUGCGGAGGAACACCGAUGGCGAAGGCAAUCCCCUGGGCCUGCACUGACGCUCAUGCACGAAAGCGUGGGGAGCAAACAGG